UACGGAGGGUGCAAGCGUUAUCCGGAUUCACUGGGUUUAAAGGGAGCGCAGGUGGAUUUGUAAGUCAGUGGUGAAAGGCUUAAGCUUAACUUGGGAACUGCCAUUGAUACUAUAAGUCUUGAAUGUUGUUGGGGUUUGCGGAAUGGGUCAUGUAGCGGUGAAAUGCAUAGAUAUGACCCGGAACACCUAUUGCGAAGGCAGCAGGCUAAACAAAUAUUGACGCUGAGGCUCGAAAGCGUGGGGAUCAAACAGG
rnacentral:rRNA from 1 species